rnacentral:rRNA from 1 species
AACGAACGCUGGCGGCGUGCCUAACACAUGCAAGUCGAGCGAGAAAGUCCGCAAGGAUGAGUACAGCGGCGCACGGGUGCGUAACACGUGGGUAAUCUGCCCUGAAGCCCGGAAUAACCUCCCGAAAGGGAAGCUAAUACCGGAUGAGACCACGGGAGCCUCGGCUCCUGUGAGAAAAGGUGGCCUCUGUACACAAGCUAUCACUUCAGGAUGAGCCCGCGGCCCAUCAGCUCGUUGGCGGGGUAACGGCCCACCAAGGCUACGACGGGUAGCUGGUCUGAGAGGACGAUCAGCCACACUGGAACUGAGACACGGUCCAGACUCCUACGGGAGGCAGCAGUGGGGAAUCUUGCGCAAUGGGCGAAAGCCUGACGCAGCAACGCCGCGUGUGUGAUGAAGGUCUUCGGAUCGUAAAGCACUGUCGGGAGGAAAGAACAAGCCUGUGGCUAACAUCCACGGGCCUUGACGGUACCUCCAAAGGAAGCACCGGCUAACUCUGUGCCAGCAGCCGCCGUAAAAC